GGGACAGGGACGCUGAGGGAACUGAGAAGGCACCUGUCUCCAGAAGGCCUGGGGAGGCUGGUUUGGGCAAAGCCAAAGUCUCCACCGAACCAGCUCCCCACCGCCUCCUCCCCAAACUAGGGUGAGAAAGUCCGAGAGAGGCUGAAUGUUGGUGGAGAAGUAAUGAUUAACCCCCUUCUCAGCCGGGCCGAACCAGCUGCCUGACUCGGCUGUGGUCGAGGGAUACAGUGAGGGUGGACCCGGGCGACCUAGCGCUACCCGCUACGGCCACUGCAACGGUGGGGACUGCGGAGGGAGGGGACAGGCAGCAUCAAGAGGCAGCCAAAAGGGAACGGAGUGCAAGGCAAAGGGAGCGCAACUCAGGAUGCCAGGAAACCAGGGAAAGCGAAAUAGCCACAGAGGAUACGCAGGGAAAGUAAGAGGCCAAAUGCGGGCCAAGGCGCGCGGCUGGGCAGCGCAAGGAAUAGUUGGAGAGGGGCGGGAGCACCCGGGCUGAGUUUCCCCGGAGUUGCCAGCAGACACCAAAUCUACCGUCUCGGAUCCAUCCGCAGCGCGCGCUCCCUCCCUUCCUCCUCUCCCAGCUGCUGUGUGGAUGUGAGGAGCAGGCGGUGCGCGCGCCAGAGCCCUGAGCUGGUAGGGCAGGGGGAGACCCGCCUGCGAGACAGGGAGGCCGGCCGAAGAGCAGGGCCGCCCAGGCGGGAACAGGCUGCGAGGUGGCUGGAGACAAAGGACCAGAGCGAAGGGGAGAGGGGACCCCGAGUCAAGAGGGACUGGCUGAAACAGGGAGAGGCCCAAGGAAAGGGGGUCUCUCUGGGGACCCGCCAAGUUCCGCGGCUCCUCCCCGCCCUUGACCGAGCCGUGCCUGCCAGAAGUGGGAGCCCGGCUUAGGGAAAGGAGGAAAGGGAACCGGAGUACGGUAUGCAGGCUUGUCCUCCCAGCAAGGAACCGAUAGGCGCAGGUUCCCUGGAUAUGCGGAAGCGCCCUGGUCUCUUCUGAAGUAUCCCAGAAACCAAGGCCUUCUCAACACUCCCAACUUGGAGGAAGUUGUGCAAAAUAUUUAUGCUCCGAGAAAAGUUGAAAGAUCAAGUCCUAAACACCCAACAGGAAGGAAAAACCAAGCGCUCCAAAGACGGCAUGAGAAGUUGUAAAACUAACGCUUUCUGGAUGGAAAGUUUUCAUUAGAAGAUUUAGAGGACACGGGAGGGAAGGCCCUGGAGGCCCCAGUGAUGAGAAGAGUCUGCAGAGAUUCUGUCCCCAGCCCUUACAGUACAGCUGGGUACCAAGCACGGGAGAGAAAGAGAAGUGGAAUCCGUCCUUGGUUUGGCCGCCCCCAACCCUCCGUUGCUCCCCGCGCCCUUGCCUGAGACGCUGACCAGUCUCUCCUCGAUCUUACCUGCCCGACCCGCGUGCUGUUCCAUACUCUGCUCCCCUCCGCCUGGGCCUGGCUUCCCGGCUUCUCCGCGACGGGACAGUGCGUCUCGCCUUGGCCGCCGCCGCCCGGAGAUCUGGGAGCAGCCACCCAAGACCGAGCGGCUCAGAUAACCCAGGCUGCCCGCCGCCUCGGCGGUGCGCUUCGCUCGCGCCCGCGCUCACACAACCCGCGGCGCCGAGGCACAGCCGCCAGCAGAGGAGCCCGGGGCUCUCCGCCUCGCGCACACGCGCGCACACGCGCCGAGGCCCCCAGCCAGCUGCAGGCACCCUCGCUGCCUAAGGCGCCUAAAGACCGAAUCCCGGGUCUAGAAGCCUGCACACCCUCUCACCCCACCCCCUCUUCUUCACUGUCACUCGCUCCCCUUCAGUCUACAGCCUCUAGCGCAGGGGCGUCCUCGCCUCCCAACUUUGUGCGGUAACCCUUUUCCCCACGACUCUCGGCACUCUCCCCAUCCCACUCUCUCGACCAUCAGGCUCCACUGCCUGUCACACUCCUUCAGGUCUCAGGCUCAGACUCCAAGACAUUCACAGUAGUCCUCCAACUUUCGCAGGCCAUGCAGUUAGUUGUUCCCAGAGGUCCCUGUCAACAAUACAUUCACUAUGAGCUGCUCAUGACAUCCUCACAAGCUUUCCCGCUCUGGAUCACUUUUUUUUUCUCCUUUUAAAAAAAAUCAAAAUGAAAAGAAAAAGAAAUGGCUUCCUUGCCUCUGAGGAAAUGAGGAGGACCAGGGAAACGGGAGAAGAGUCCCAUUCCUCUCACACUUACUUAGCCAGCCACUUGAACAUUGCCGUUCUACAAUAUUCUGGGGUCCCUUACCCCAAAUCUCUGGGACCCUUGACUCACACCCACUCUGAGCACACCAAUGCCUUCAUCCCUGAUCAAAGGUUCAACCCUCUUCCCUACACCAAGUCUUCUUAAUCUGAAAUUUAUAACUUACACCUUGGUCACAAAUUCUCCCUCAAACCUCCCAUGCUCCACUUUUUUCAUAUGUACCAGCUUAUACUCCUACUGUCACACACACACAUACCCCUCAUGAACACUAGUGUCUCCACACCUACCCUCUCCAUGGUCCCUUUUCUCAUUUGUUCCACUUUAUUCUGCCACCCACUCUACAACCUUGGCCAUACACACUAACACUGAGAGGCCGUCAAGGAAAAUGUGGGGUAAGAGGUAGAGGCCUGUGGCUGGCGCUCUCUCUCUCUCUCUCUCUCUCUCUCUCUCUCUCUCUCUCCACACACACACACACACACACACACACACACACACACACAGGCAGAGGCCCAGAGAAUAGGUUCUAAGCAAGGGUUCACAGGGCUCACAGGCCCACAUCCCUCAGGAACUGGAAGUUGUUUCCUGGAACUUCAGCUGAGCUUCUUCUAGAAAGAUUUUGCAGCUAGGGACAGGAAGCUGGAGGGACACCAGGGUUCAGAGGCAAAACUUGUAUUGUGGCUCCUUGACUUAAGUUUUAAAAAUCUUCCUACAGGAACAUGACUUUCUACCAUUUCAGACAAAUCCAAUCAUUGCCAAAUUAUCAUCUGAUCAAUUUUUUAAAAUAGUACUGGGGAUUGAACCCAGGGCCUCAAGAAUGCUAGGCAAGUGCUCUACCACCCAGCUACAACCCCAGCCCCAUCUUAUCAGUAUUUUAAAAUUUUAAAUGUCAGAACUUAUUGGUGUUUAUUUUCUUCUUUAUCAGUGAUUUUCCAAUCCAAGUGCAUAAAAACUUAAAAACAAACUCUUUUCUUUUUGUUAUAUACUGAACAACAUUUCCAAGGACAAGGAUAGGAGAGCAGUAUUCAUAAAUGAAACUCUAGCCACACAUGUACACACACGUACACACAACUAUCAUGUGGUCAUUCCAUUAUAUACACAUGAGAGGAUCACCCAUAAUUAGCCUCUCAUUGUCACCUACUCAGAACCACACCCAGUCGCACAUAAGGGUUGUGACCUGCACACAUCUCUGCACAGCUCUUUUGCCUUUGUUUCUUCUUCUCUAAAAUAGUGAUAAUAAUCCUUUCCCUUUUCAAAGGUUUCUUGAGAGAGAAUGUGUGGGCAGGUGAUUCAUAAAAUGUAAAAGUACGACCAUACUUAACAUCAGGUGCUGUUGAUAGAGACAGAAACUGAGAUCCAAUGUCCUUGACUUGACACAUAUAUGGAGAUACCUACUUGGGAGCCAGGUGUUUUGAACUGGGGAUACACACACUCAGCUUAGUGCCUCCUGCCUGCUCCUGAGUUAGCUAGCUGGUCACAGUUACCUGAACACAGGGCCCGGGGUUGGGGCAGUGCCAGGGCCAGGGCCUGGGCCCAGGGGAAGGCAGCUGAGGCCAUUGUGCUAAGCAGCCUGUCUCAUACCAGAGGGGCUAUGAGGAGGAAGGAAACUUCUUAGCUCUUGGAUCUGAUAUUCUUUCUCCAAAGCCAACAAAGUGAUGCUAAAAGGUUCAGCCCUAUAUCUUGGCCCCCUCCAGCCUCCUCCCUCAGGCUCUGCUUCUCUUUGUCUCCUGGCCCUCACCCCUGUCCCACACUGUCUCUGGAGCCCCUUUGCUCAUUGCCCGCCCCAUUGAUUGAAAGUCUCUCUCAGGUUCUCCAAGGAAUCCCAGGAAAAAUGAUCCGCCAGCCUAUUGAUUCUUCAUUAGAAUUACAUUUUCACGUGUGCUAAAUUGGUUUUAAAAGCUUUUUCUGUUGUUAUUGUCUUGUCAGACCCUGCGGUCCAGGGCAAACCAAGUUUAAACGUUGUGGCUUCUUAGGGGAAAAAAAAUCACCAGGGCUGGGUC